AUUGCUUCUCUGCCUUUUGGCUAAGAUCAAGUGUAGUAUAUGUUCUUAUCAGUGGUCUAGUCUCUGCCAUUGAUGUAGAAUGGAUGCUGCAUGAAGGAGCAGGUGUACCAGGGCUUUCCGGGGUUGGUGCCAUGUAACCAGCUCAACGGUUGCCCUGAUGUCACCUGUUUCCUCCGGGUCUCGCCAUGAGGCU